rnacentral:rRNA from 1 species
GACGAACGCUGGCGGCGUGCUUAACACAUGCAAGUCGAGCGGUAAGGCCCUUUCGGGGGUACACGAGCGGCGAACGGGUGAGUAACACGUGGGUGACCUGCCCUCAGCUCUGGGAUAAGCCUGGGAAACCGGGUCUAAUACUGGAUAUGACUCCAUGACGCAUGUUGUGGGGUGAAAGCCUUGUGCGGCUGAGGAUGGGCCCGCGGCCUAUCAGCUUGUUGGUGGGGUGAGGCCUACCAAGGCGACGACGGGUAGCCGGCCUGAGAGGGCGACCCGGCCACACUGGGACUGAGACACGGCCCAGACUCCUACGGGAGGCAGCAGUGGGGAAUCUUGCGCAAUGGGCGAAAGCCUGACGCAGCGACGCCGCGUGAGGGAUGACGGCCCU